UAAUUAUUUCAAAGCAUUAGUUUUCACUAGCCAUGGAAAUCUUCACAAAGAAACUCACUCCUAUUGAUUUUGAUAGAGGAUUGGAGCUACCUGAUAAACCACGAAGGUCUAAUAGGGUGCCUAUCAAGAAUCCAAGAUAUGAGGGUUGAGCUGGGACACGUAUUAUGAGGAUUCAGCUGUGGGCAAUUGCUGAAUUUGUUUAAUUUGUUUUUUUUGAAUUGGUCAAUAAAGUUAGAAGGAAUAAGUCAAUUAGUGGGGGCUAUUUCUCUGUCAACUAGCCGUUCCACGUCCUUCUAAUUAGCGAAGUAGUUAAGUUUUUAUUUGUAUUUAAAUCAUUGUUUCCAGCAAGUUGAGGACAAGAAAAGUAUUACAAGGUUUAUUCUCACCUUAAGCAGAGUAUUUUCUUAUUUUCUUAAAGGCUUUGACUGGGACCUAACAUUGGUAUCAGAGCUUUCACACUAUGACUACCAAUAAAGAGAGGAUCGAGAAUUUAGAAGCAGCUAUUGGGGGACUUCAAGACAAUUUCAACAAGAUGGAACUGGGUGUUACUGACAAAUUACAACAGCUAGAGGCUGCUAUUAGCAGAAUUUCUGAAGUACUGCUUCCAAGGCAAGAGCCGAACUCUAGCAAUGUCCAAGAACGCAGUGGACAAGCCUUUGGUGCGCGAUCUCGUGACACCACAGACGGUGGCCGCUCAAUGUUCUCCUCCAAAUUGGCUAAGCUCGAAUUUCCCAAGUAUUUUGGUACUGACCCAACUGAAUGGCUCACGCGUGUUGAUCAAUUUUUUGAAUACCAGGGCACUUUGGAAGCACAAAAAGUGUCUUUGGCUUCUUUUCAUUUGGAAGGCGAAGCAAAUCAAUGGUGGCAGUGGUUACGCAAGGCUUAUCAUGAGGACAAAAAGGAGGUAUCAUGGGAGAUUUUUGUGGAAGAAUUAUGGGCUCGUUUUGGUCCCACGGAUUGCGAAGAUUUUGAUGAGUCUUUAUCAAAAAUAAGGCAAACGGGAUCCUUACGGGAAUAUCAGAAAGAAUUUGAGAGGCUGGGAAACAGAGUGCAAGGGUGGACUCCGAAGGCUUUGGUGGGUACUUUUAUGGGUGGUCUCAAGCCUGAAAUUGCUGAUGGAAUUCGGAUGUUUAAGCCAAAGUCCUUGAAAGAAGCCAUCAGUUUGGCACGGAUGAGAGAUGAGCAGAUGAUUCGUCAAGAGAAACCACAUCGGCCACUCUACAGAACCUCUGAUCAUUCUGAUCGACCAUUCAAGCACACUGACGUCUCUAAUCGUCCAUUCACCAGGUCUGUUGGCGUCUCUUCACCUUUUAAAACCCGUCUGCAUCACCUAUGAAGCGAUUAACAUGGUCUGAGAUGCAACAAAGGCGUGCUCAAGGCCUUUGCUUCAAUUGUGAUGAAAGGUUUGUAUUGGGGCACAAAUGUAAGGGGCCGCAGCUGUUAUUGCUUGAAAGCAGUUAUGAAGAUGAUGAGAUUGAUAAUGAGGAACCUGAAAUUUCACUCCAUGCUCUCACGGGGUGGUCAACAGCUAGAACCAUGAGAGUCUCGGCCAAAGUGGGACAUCAUGAAUUGAUUGUGCUUAUUGACAGUGGGUCAACCCAUAAUUUCAUCAAUGAACGGGUAGCUGAAAUAUUGCAUUUACCGGUGGUGCCCACUGAACCCUUUGCUGUGAAAGUGGCUAACGGAGUUCCGCUAAGGUGUCAGGGGAGAUUUGACAAUGUGCAUGUCUUAUUGCAAGGUAUUCCAUUUACCUUAACUCUUUAUUGGGUUGGAUAUGGUGUUGGGAGUCCAGUGGCUAGAACAGUUGGGAACGGUGGGUUGUGAUUGGAAGAGGAUGACGAUGAAGUUUUCAUGGAUGAAUCAGCAUCAUCAAUUGGAAGGAAUUGGCAAUCAACCAAUUCAGCCGAUACAGGUUCAAGCACUGUCGAAGGAGCUGAAGCAGGGCAAUUCUAUUUUUGCUGUGUGUCUACAGCCGGCUGGGGAAGAAACACCACAGAUGAACCGACCUGAUAUGCAACAAUUGUUACAAGAAUUUGCGGACAUUCAUCAAGAACCACAACAGCUCCCUCCCCAAAGAGAAAUAGACCACCACAUCACCCUCAAAGAAGGAACUGAGCCCAUCAAUGUCCGGCCAUACAGGUAUGCCUAUUUUCAAAAAGCUGAGAUUGAAAAGCAAGUUCAUGACAUGUUAAAAUUGGGGCUAAUUAGAUCUAGCACAAGUCCAUUUUCUUCUCCUGUGUUGUUAGUNNNNNNNNNNNNNNNNNNNNNNNNNNNNNNNNNNNNNNNNNNNNNNNNNNNNNNNNNNNNNNNNNNNNNNNNNNNNNNNNNNNNNNNNNNNNNNNNNNNNNNNNNNNNNNNNNNNNNNNNNNNNNNNNNNNNNNNNNNNNNNNNNNNNNNNNNNNNNNNNNNNGUCCGGGUCCAAUCCCCUUAGGAAUAUCCACCCAAAAGCUGGCGUGUGGCACACACAAAUGGGUCAUUAUGGAGUAAUUUAGGUUAUGCCCGUUUAGGUUUAAUGUAAUGACUCCUUCCCACGAUUUCAGGGCGGUCAAUGAAUUUCCAUAUUUUCGUUCCUUUACGUUCGCAAAAUUUGUAUUUAGUUUUCUUUGAUGAUAUUCCUAAAUCUAUAGCCCCCCAAUUGGACCCAUGCAUAUUGAAACAUGUUAAACCACCUUUUGAAAUAUUAAGGCAUCAUCAGUUUUUCAUCAAAUUGAAUAAGUGUGUGUUUGGGCAACAAGAGGUGAAGUAUUUGGGGUCACAUUGUGACGUCCCAAGGUGUGAAGGCCGACAAGGGCAAAAUUCAAUCUAUGCUUAAUUGGCCCUGCCCAACUAAUGUUUCUGAAUUGCGAGGGUUCUUAGGCCUUACAGGUUACUACCGGAAGUUUGUUCGCAAUUAUGGAAUCAUUGCCCGACCACUCACAAAUCUUUUGAAGAAGGGGCUAUUUCGGUGGACAGAGGAGGCAGAUGCGGCAUUCCUUGCCUUGAAGCAAGCGAUGACUUCAACUCCUACGCUUGCUAUGCCUAAUUUUAAUGAACCUUUUGUCAUUGAAACUGAUGCUUCAGGUACUGGUAUUGGGGCGGUGUUAACUCAGCACGGGAGACCCAUUGCAUUCAUGAGCCGAGCAUUGGGGGUCACUAAACUGUCAUGGUCCACAUAUGCCAAAGAAAUGCUUGCCAUUGUUCAAGCUAUUCGGUUGUGGCGUCCGUACUUGCUGGGCAGGAAAUUUUUCAUACACACUGAUCAUUGCAGCCUCAAGUACUUGAUGGAGCAGCGCAUUGUCACCCCAGAACAGCAGAAAUGGGUGUCCAAAUUAGUAGGGUAUGACUACGAAAUCACUUAUAAGCCGGGAAAGGAGAAUUCUGCCGCUGAUGCCUUAUCAAGAGUAAUUGGCAGCCCUAGCCUUAAUGCACUAUUUGUUCCUCAAGCAUCUUUGUGGCAGACUCUCAAGGAGGAAGCCAACCAGCAUCCUUACAUGAUCCGUAUUGGCAAACUUGCUACUGCCAAUCCGGGAGCUCCCUAUAAAUGGUUGAAUGGUUUGGUGUGUUACAAUAACCGAGUAGUCAUUCCCCCUAAUUCAACUCUUGUCCAGCUUCUAUUACAGGAAUUCCAUGAUUCACCUUCUGGAGGUCAUUCGGGGGUGUUACGCACAUACAAAAGAAUGGCGCAACAAUUUUAUUGGCCAUCCAUGCAUAGAGUGGUUCAGCAAUAUGUUGCUUCUUGCACGGUUUGCCAAAAGAAUAAGGCUGAUACUUUAUCUCCAGCCGGGCUUCUACAACCGCUGCCAGUUCCUUGUCAAAUCUGGGACGAUAUUACCAUGGAUUUCAUUGAAGGGUUACCACCUUCUAAUGGUAAAAGCACCAUUUUUGUGGUCGUGGACCGUUUAAGCAAAUCUGCUCAUUUUUUGGCUUUAGCACAUCCUUACACGGCCAAAAUGGUUGCUGAGAAAUUUGUGGAGGGGAUUGUCAAGCUUCAUGGCAUGCCGAAGUCCAUUAUUAGUGAUCGGGAUCCUAUCUUCAUCAGUCAUUUUUGGCGUGAAUUCUUCAAGAUGUCAGGGACAAAGCUGCACAUGAGUUCCGCUUAUCAUCCCCAAACCGACGGUCAAUCGGAGGUGGUUAACAGGUGUGUUGAGCAGUAUCUUCGAUGUUUUGUUUCUCAACAACCUCGAAAGUGGUGUUCUUUUCUUGCAUGGGCUGAAUUUUGGUACAACACCACAUUCCAUUCCUCUAUCGGGAUGUCUCCUUUUCAAGCUCUCUAUGGCCGACCACCACCGAGCAUCCCGAAUUAUCAGAUUGGGGCCUCUUCAGUGCACGAGGUGGAUCAGACUAUGAUUUCUCGUACUUCUCUUUUACGUCAGCUCAAAAUUAAUCUGCAGGCUGCAAUUAAUCGAAUGAAGCAGGGGGCUGAUUCCAAAAGACGGGACGUGAACUUCCAAGUGGGGGAUUUAGUCUUUCUCAAACUACAUCCUUAUCGCCAACAAUCUCUGUUUCGGAGACCAGCUCAGAAGUUGGCCAGCCGUUUUUAUGGUCCUUAUAAGGUUGAGGAAAAGGUGGGAAAGGUUGCUUACAAGCUUCAGCUUCCUACAGAUGCUCGAAUACACCCUGUUUUUCAUGUUUCACUUCUCAAGAAGCAAGUUGGAGAGUCCACGGUCACCAGCGCAGAACUGCCUCCCAUUACUGAUGAUGGUGAGUUUGUUUUAAAACCUAUUGCUGUGUUGGAAACCCGAUGGGUGCGGAAAGGGUCUACUUUUGUUGAGGAACUCCUUGUCCAAUGGGAACACUUGUCAAAGGAGGAUGCUACGUGGGAAAAUGCACAGGAGCUGCGUGACAAGUUUCUGUCCUUCAACCUUGAGGACAAGGUUCUAAUUCAAGACAGGGGCAAUGAUAAACCACGAAGGUCUAAUAGGGUGCCUAUCAAGAAUCCAAGAUAUGAGGGUUGAGCUGGGACACGUAUUAUGAGGAUUCAGCUGUGGGCAAUUGCUGAAUUUGUUUAAUUUGUUUUUUUUGAAUUGGUCAAUAAAGUUAGAAGGAAUAAGUCAAUUAGUGGGGGCUAUUUCUCUGUCAACUAGCCGUUCCACGUCCUUCUAAUUAGCGAAGUAGUUAAGUUUUUAUUUGUAUUUAAAUCAUUGUUUCCAGCAAGUUGAGGACAAGAAAAGUAUUACAAGGUUUAUUCUCACCUUAAGCAGAGUAUUUUCUUAUUUUCUUAAAGGCUUUGACUGGGACCUAACACUACCACCCCGUUCUAACCUAGAACCCCUGCAACAUUUUCAAGGGACCAUAGAAUUGUCCACCAUAGUUGAGUCAGCUGCAGGAACCCGUUUACCGGAACCAGUGACAAUUCACUGCUCAACCAAAAGCGGAAGCCUUGUAUUUAAAACAGGUUGGUAUGCUAUUGCUCGCGAUGUUGGCCUCAAAAGUGGAGACACUGUGACUUUCUAUCAGGAGGUUAACGGAGGAGCACAGUUCAAAUUGAAAGUGAGAAAUGUUCGUUAAAGUAAAGAAGAAAUGUGAGGGAAACAGUGUCUUCCAUACAUGCAUGAACGUCCGAGUGCACGUCCUUUUUUUUCUUCUUUGUUCUGUCUCCUGCAAUCUUCGUGUCUAGUUUCUGUCCGGUGUCAGCAGUUGAGAAAACUUUUCUCAAAAUCAUCUCCUGCAAU
rnacentral:lncRNA from 1 species